rnacentral:rRNA from 1 species
AACGCGAAGAACCUUACCUGGGUUUGACAUGCCCGUGAUCCCCCGGUGAAAGCCGGGGUUCCCUUCGGGGCACGUGCACAGGUGCUGCAUGGCUGUCGUCAGCUCGUGUCGUGAGAUGUUGCGUUAAGUCGCGCAACGAGCGCAACCCCUGUCCUUAGUUGCCAUCAUUCAGUUGGGCACUCUAGGGAGACAAACCCUCUUUGAGGGUGGGAAGGUGGGGAUGACGUCAAGUCAGGAUGGCCCUUACGGCCUGGGCUGCACACGUACUACAAUGCCCGGUACAGAGGGAAGCAAUACCGCGAGGUGGAGCAAAUCCUCAAAACCGGGCCCAGUUCAGAUUGUAGUCUGCAACUCGACUACAUGAAGUUGGAAUCGCUAGUAAUGGCGCAUCAGCUACGGCGCCGUGAAUACGUUCCCGGGCCUUGUACACACCG